rnacentral:ncRNA from 1 species
AUGUGUUCCGAGGGGAGCCCCUGGCAGGGGCUGAGAGUCCGUUGUCUCUUUUCGCGAUUUUUCGCAAACGAGGCCGGUGCGGAGACCCUUCGAACCUGAUCCGGGUUAUGCCGGCGAAGGGACAGGAACUUCCUGAAUU